rnacentral:rRNA from 1 species
UACAGAGGGUGCAAGCGUUAAUCGGAAUUACUGGGCGUAAAGCGUGCGUAGACGGUCAUGUAAGUCGGGUGUGAAAGCCCCGGGCUCAACCUGGGAAUUGCAUUCGAGACUGCAUGGCUAGGGUGCAGAAGAGAAAAGCGGAAUUCCACGUGUAGCGGUGAAAUGCGUAGAGAUGUGGAGGAACACCAGUGGCGAAGGCGGCUUUUUGGUCUGUAACUGACGCUGAGGCGCGAAAGCGUGGGGAGCAAACAGG